rnacentral:rRNA from 1 species
CUGCUGCCUUCCGUAGGAGUUUGGACCGUGUCUCAGUUCCAAUGCGGGGGACCUUCCUCUCAGAACCCCUAUCCAUCGAAGACUAGGUGGGCCGUUACCCCGCCUACUAUCUAAUGGAACGCAUCCCCAUCGUCUACCGGAAUACCUUUAAUCAUGUGAACAUGCGGACUCAUGAUGCCAUCUUGUAUUAAUCUUCCUUUCAGAAGGCUGUCCAAGAGUAGACGGCAGGUUGGAUACGUGUUACUCACCCGUGCG